AUCUCCUCUAUAAGAUCACACUCCUCACAGUCACUCUUCCUCUGGCUUGACUGUGAAUUCAGACUGUUACCUGUGAUGAAACUCACCUGAAUGAUUGUCACCUGUGAUUACCUGUGAUACUCAGUGAUGUUCCUGUGACACUCCAGAGAUCUUCCUUUGAUUUUUCCAAUUUUCUUGCGUUCUCCAACUUGCUUGAGUCUGGAUUGUCCUGACAGGGUCAUUUUAUGUUUCCUGUGAUCUUAAAAACAUUUUAAUUUAAAGACUUCUGCUUAAAUGACUGAAAUGACUUUUGUAAACAAAUAUAAAUUAUGUUUAAAUAUUCAUGUGAAUUUCUUAACAAGAUAAAGGUUUUACUUGAUCAUGAAUAAUGUUCAGAUCUGGAGCAGAUGAUGAAUGAAGAUCAUCAUGAAGUGAUCGUACAGUAACUGUUCCUCCUUCAACAAACUCAAAUAUAAGACAUUUCAUUUGUGUAACAUGUUUUGCUCACUGCAUCAUUCCCACAAUGCCAUUUGUGUUAUUUCAUAGUUUUCAUGACUUUACUAAUAUGUGGAUAUAAAGAAUCAGUUUGUGUCCAAACUUUGAUGAGAUUCUGGAAACAGAUGAAUAUGAGUUUAAGUUUAUUCAUGUAGUCAUAUAUUCAUAAGUGCUCAUUUACAUAUAUUCUUUAUUUUCAUUUUUUAUUAUUAAUUUUAUAUUAUUUGAUUUUGUCUUAAGGAAAUAGUUCACCGAAAAGAGAAUUUCUUUCCAACCCUGUUUGUAUUUUAAAUGUUGAGAUGUUUUCAGUCUUUGUGUUUCUCACAGUUGAUUUUUACUGUCAAACUCUCAUCAGGACUAAAUGAGUAUCUUUGUGUUCUGAGACGAUUAUAUACAAGGAAACAUUUACAGCCCUGAGGAAUGCUGGAUAACAGGUUUGAAUGAAAGAUUUAGCCUGUUCCAGUGAGAUCUGAGUGCUUUAAUGAACAACAAUUAAAAUCUACUGACAUCCUUCAAAUGUAUUAUAAAUAAUCACAUCACAUCCUCCACAGAAGAACCAGUCAAAGCCUGAAGACACUCGUCCACAAAGACAAUGAUAAAACUUUACUUGUGAAUAAAUAUGAAGAUCUAUAGCUCUGACUGAUUUUUUUUUUUCGCCUGCGUCCGAAAUCGAAUACUUCUCUACUAUAUAGUACGUGAAAAACAGUAUGCGAACAGAGUAGUAUGUUCGAAUUCACAGUAUUCGAAAAACAGUAAGCGAAAAGUACCCAGGUGACUUACUACUUCUAGCUAGAUUCUGAAGUGUGCAUACAAUGAACACUUUACUAUCCCAUGAGGAGAUAUUUGUGAAUGGAGUUGAAGGGACUUAACUGAUGCUCAUGUGACAGUAACAACAUGGUGGAUGUAGUAUGUCCGAAUUCAUUCAUACUACACGCAUUCGUACUAUAUAGAAUGUACUUUUUUAAUGUGACAUUUAAAUAUGGGAACAUGUAUGUGCAAUAUAUGUACACAAUAAAGUAUAAAACUAUGAAUAUUACAUGUAAUGAUAUUGUAUGUAUCAAUGUAUCAGUAUGUAUCAGUUUAUGAUAGUGAAUGUAUCAAUAUCCAUGCAUGGUCAGUACAUAUAUUGCAGUAUAUUGAAAAAUAGGUACUCUAUACUAAAAAAAUUAAAAGUGUAUUGAGCUGCGAAAGAGACGCUGUUCUCCAGGUGGCUUUCUGUGUGAGAUCUGAGACGGAGCGAAACUCGAACAAGUAUAGGCUACUUUGGGCUUCGACUGUGUGUUUAAACAGACAAGUACACACAAAAAUAUGUCAAAAUAUGAGUUUUCACUUAAACGCUGUCAGUUAGCCUUAAGUGAACAUAAACAGUUAGGAAAGUAAUCGAAUGAUUGUCAGUAUAUUAGAUCUGUGCAUUCGAUCCUAAAGUGACAUUGGUCCCUCGCCCCAGUAUGGCGACCUGCCGCUGGUGCUCCAGCCUCUUGUCACCCAAAGCCAGGCGUGGGCAGCCAUUUCUGGUGUGUCAAAAUUGGGUUUUGGAAAUUAUCAGACGAGUCUACUUGCUCCUGUUCACUCCGUUUGAGUUCAGAAACUACAGAGACACACAGAAACACAGACGGAUUCAGCCUGAAACACACCGUCAUUGUAUAUCACAGUGACAAGAUUCACUGCAGAGUCAAACUGAGACAUCACAUGCUGGAGACACUGAUUAUCAGCUAAAAAUGUUUGACUGGACACAAUGUGCUCAGUGUAAGUCUCUGUUUUGUUUUACAGGCAACAUGUUUAAUCUUUGGAGGACAGCGGCCAUCCUGGUUUCAGUUGUAGUUGUGCUCAGUGGUUUUGCAGGAAUACUGAUAGCUGUUCGUUCAUAAAUACAGAGCUUCCUGUCACAGUUCCCUUGUCUCCCGGACUCCAUUUCCCAUGAUCCUCCUGUCUCCACACCUGCACUCACUUCCCUCGUCAUCUCCCCUUCAGCACUCAUCAUCUGCACCUGGAUUUCCUCAUCAGCACUCCCUAUAUAAUGGACUUACUCCCUUCACUCCCUGUCCGUUCUUAAUGUUGUUCUACGUGUGUUUGGUUGUGUCUCCUCUUUGGUUAUUAAUAAAUACUUGUUAAUUGCGGAUCUCUGUGAACGCCUCAUCUCUACAACCCAGCACUGUAACAGAAGAACGGACCGAACCGCUGGAGAUCCACUAACAAAGAUGGGCCUAUUCGUUGUCUCCGAGGCUCCAGCUUCUCCCAUGCCUCCCACACCUAUGCCGACGAAUUGGUCAGACGCUUGUUUAAACACCCUUUUUCUGGACGGACUGGACGAGAGCACAAUCCGUUUUGAUGAACCUGACGAUUAUGUUUCCUUAUACGAUACUAUUAAUCUGAUUUUGUAUUUAAAUGGUUCUGAGUUCGUUGUCGAAGAGGUUCCGGAUAUUCCGUGCUUUUCUCGUCCAGUUCCUCCAGAAACACGGGUGGCCUGGCCAGUUCGUCAGUCUCCAGCUUCCUCCACAUUCCUCCAGCCGCCGUCGCCGAGCCAGCCGCUCUGGUCCCUGGCCCCGGACCCGCCGUGGCCUCCCACGGCUUCAGACCCGCCCAGGUGCCCACCCCCCCUCCCCGCUGUCCACCCCCCCUCCCCGCUGUUUCCAUCUGAGGCGUGAGGACACGCCUUCCGGGGAGGGGGAGGUAAUGUCACAGUUCCCUUGUCUCCCGGACUCCAUUUCCCAUGAUCCUCCUGUCUCCACACCUGCACUCACUUCCCUCGUCAUCUCCCCUUCAGCACUCAUCAUCUGCACCUGGAUUUCCUCAUCAGCACUCCCUAUAUAAUGGACUUACUCCCUUCACUCCCUGUCCGUUCUUAAUGUUGUUCUACGUGUGUUUGGUUGUGUCUCCUCUUUGGUUAUUAAUAAAUACUUGUUAAUUGUG